CAGCAGCCACGGUAAUACGAAGGGGGCUAGCGUUGUUCGGAAUCACUGGGCGUAAAGCGCACGUAGGCGGACUUUUAAGUCAGGGGUGAAAUCCCAAGGCUCAACCUUGGAACUGCCUUUGAUACUGGAAGUCUUGAGUUCGGGAGAGGUGAGUGGAACUGCGAGUGUAGAGGUGAAAUUCGUAGAUAUUCGCAAGAACACCAGUGGCGAAGGCGGCUCACUGGCCCGAUACUGACGCUGAGGUGCGAAAGCAUGGGGAGCAAACAGGAUUAGAGACCCGUGUAGUCCCUGUCUCUUAUAC
rnacentral:rRNA from 1 species